AGCAGUAGCCGCGGUAAUACGGAGGGUGCAAGCGUUAAUCGGAAUUACUGGGCGUAAAGCGUGCGUAGGCGGUUCGUUAAGUCUGUUGUGAAAGCCCCGGGCUCAACCUGGGAAUGGCAAUGGAUACUGGCGAGCUAGAGUGUGUCAGAGGAUGGUGGAAUUCCCGGUGUAGCGGUGAAAUGCGUAGAGAUCGGGAGGAACAUCAGUGGCGAAGGCGGCCAUCUGGGACAACACUGACGCUGAGGCACGAAAGCGUGGGGAGCAAACGGGAUUAGAGACCCGCGUAGUCCCUGUCUCUUAUCA
rnacentral:rRNA from 1 species